rnacentral:rRNA from 1 species
AACGAACGCUGGCGGCAUGCCUAACACAUGCAAGUCGAACGAGAUCUUCGGGUCUAGUGGCGCACGGGUGCGUAACGCGUGGGAGUCUGCCCUUUGGUUCGGAAUAACAGUUGGAAACGACUGCUAAUACCGGAUGAUGACGAAAGUCCAAAGAUUUAUCGCCAGAGGAUGAGCCCGCGUAGGAUUAGCUAGUUGGUGUGGUAAAGGCGCACCAAGGCGACGAUCCUUAGCUGGUCUGAGAGGAUGAUCAGCCACUGGGACUGAGACACGGCCCAGACUCCUACGGGAGGCAGCAGUGGGGAAUAUUGGACAAUGGGCGAAAGCCUGAUCCAGCAAUGCCGCGUGAGUGAUGAAGGCCUUAGGGUUGUAAAGCUCUUUUACCCGGGAUGAUAAUGACAGUACCGGGAGAAUAAGCUCCGGCUAACUCCGUGCCAGCCGCCGCCGUAA